rnacentral:misc_RNA from 1 species
GCGGCAGCCAGCGAUCGAGGGAACGAGCACCUCCCAAUUUUCGAAAUCUCUCGAAUGUUUUCAAAAAUUCACUGAGGGGGUCCUUGCCUAUCAAUGCCUCGGAACGGGGAUAUAACGAUUUUUCAAGUUGUACCGCUGUUAAAACGAACCGCUGCAAAAGGUGAAGGAGCAACACGAUAACCUAACGAGAUUCCUUGGUUCCUGGAUUUCCUAAUUUGGUAGCGGCUGAUAACUGCAUCAACACAUCCACACGGUCUUUGUAGACUCACGUAUUCAUCGUCAGAUGUGUAAAGCACGGAUAUGUCUUCUCAAGAAGAAUCAACCGGUUGCAAAACUUUGUUUAAUGCCUUACGUCUGGAAAACAUUGUACAAUCUGAUAUUUCUGAAAAACUGGAGGAAAAUCUUGAAAUCAUUACGACACUGCCGGAAGAAGAACUAUGUGAUCUUUGGCAUCACAUAAAAUGUGUAAUAGUUAAUGCGCAAAAAUUAAUAAGAAAUGGCCAAACUUGUACAGUCCAAAAUGGGUCAGAUGUACAGAAUUCUUCUGCACAAACGACCAUUAUAAGUUUAACGGUUAAAAUAGCUCUUAAAACCAUAAUGACAAGAACAUUUGUUCCACAAGUUCUGUUAGAUGUUGUCUUCAUCCUGCACUCUCUGGUUUUACCAAAGCUGAAUGAAAAACAGGUGAGAGAUGAUAUAUCAUGUCUUUUGGAAAAUUGGUGGAAACUAAAUUUAGACUCAAGACAAAAAGUAAUAAGAAAUUCCUUAAAAUAUUUGAUCGAGAGAGCAAAAACUUCACUGGAGCAUGUAAAACGUUUAUACGAUAUUAAAUCUGCCAUGCCCUUAUUGAAAUAUAACGAGGAUGUUGACGCCCUUUUGAGCCUGUCGAUAGAACAAAAUUUCAUAACUACAAAAGAAGGCAGAACUUUACUCCUCUGUAUAUUCUCGCUUAAUAAGCAGUGGAUAAAGGGAAUUCAUAAAAAAGUAAAACAGGUGUUGGAAAGUAUAGAAUUCAAAAAUGUUGAUACGUACGCAGAGUUAUACACUUCAGCUUGGUUAAAUGCAUGCAACGAAAACAGGAAAGUGAUUGCAGAGGAAUGUAUAAGAAAUCUGAUUUUUCAUUGCCUUACAGCAGGUAGAGUUUCUGAGAAACGCAUACAUUUUAAAAAUAAUUUAAUUAAAUUCUUGAGAUAUUUUCAUAAGCAUCCGAGCAUUAAAGUUCAAAGAAUGAUUUAUGAACAAUAUCACCCAAUUCUUUGGGCCCAUUUAAAGGCUCCUGGCUAUUUUACUAGGUGUAACGCAGCAGAUGUACUCUUCGCGGCUUAUCCAAUUGAACAACCAAAUGGACAAAAGAAAGGUUCUGGUGCUAACAGACAAUACGAGGCAAUGACUGCUUUACUAAAAGAUGGCAAUCAUGAAGUCUGUGUUGUCGCUAUGAAAGGUAUUUUUAAUAUAUUGCAGAGUUACUGGUCUGAAGUACCAAGUUCAUUUACAGAAGAAUGGCUUAAUCUCUCUUUAAAUUAUACAAAAGAAUCAGUCUAUCCGGAAAUAAGAAUGUGUAUAUUUCAAGGGCUCAAAUCAGUCCUGUCUAAUUCUCAAUCUCUAACGGUACUAAAGAAUGUAUUACCUAAUUUUAUUGAAAGCAUUCAUGAUACGGAUACUAAUGUUAAAAUGGCAGUGUUAGAAUUACUUCUAGAUGUCCGAGAUAAAAGCGAAAUACAUCUUUACGAUAUUGCCCCACUCUCCUACAUUCUGGAAUGUCUAGAGAUUGAGACUAAUAUUAUUACAGCAAAAUUAAUUGUAAAACUCUUAUGGCCAUGCGUUUUUUCCAACAAUAACGCAUCCAGCAUGUUAGAGGGAAUUAUCUGCAUGGCGUUGAAAAAUGUAAACGCAGUGAGAAAAUUUUUCCUGUACUCAAAUCACACAAUUGACUACAACACAUCUUUGCGUCUCAUUGAAGAAAUACUGCGAGAAAUCAAAGGAAGUGUGCAAGAGUUUUCGAUGACUAAAGAACCUAUGCAUAAAUCUAUCAAAGUUAACGGAGGAAAUGGUCUGAGAAAGAUCUCACAUUCUGAAGGGCGAGGUAAACGCACAUCUAAACUAGCUCACCUAAAAGAUCCGUUGGUUAUACAAGCUCUAUUCGAUGUUGGUGCCAUACUUUGGACAAUAAGCAGCGAAGAAUUUACCAAAGAGAAUCACAAGGACGAAGUUGAAAAUUUGAGACUGAUCGUUGCAAAUGAACUACCCCAUUUUUUCAAUCUCUUUAAGGGCACACCGAUUUGUGAAUCCGUAUUGUUUUUAUUUACAUUACUUCCGGAAUCGAUGAUAUCAUCGGAUUCCACAAUAUUUUCGGACAUUUGCGUUCAGGAGUUAAACGACCCCGACGUAUCCGACGAUACGAUUUUGACAAUCGUAUAUUUGCUUGUUAAAUGGAACAAAGUUAACACAAUUUUACUGUUGUUGAAGAAACUUUUAACCGCUGCCACUGAUCACGAACAGAGAACCAGUUCCAGGAAACGAUUGAAGUUGCAGACGUCUAUGGUCAAAAGGAAUACGAUGGAACUGGGUCUACGUAUUCUCGAUCACUUGUUGUACGAUGAAUUUCAAUCCGUUUUAAUGAACGACCAUCACGAGAGCAUGAUAAAGUUCCACCAAAGCUUGAGCUUCGUGAAAAGCCUCGUGGAAAGAAAAUUGGGAAGUAAUUCCUCUCGAGAUCCGGUUUACGUGGAGUUCAUGGAUUCAAUUUCGGAGGAAGUACUCGGAAACCUAUUUAAUCAAUACGUUUCCCUAAUUUGCAUCUUGAAUAAGGCUGAGGUAUUUAAUGCCUCGGAACACUUGACAGACGUCGCGUUAUGGGCCCAAACGAAAAUAGUGCCACGAAUACCGAAACUGCACGAAGAGACGUCGAGUAGAUUCUCGAUAAAUCUGUUGAAAAUCAUCUUCAACAUCGGCAACAGGAUGAUGUUACGACUGCACGCCACUCCGAAAUUAUGCUGCGAAUUGGUACUCCUGUACAGCAAAUGUCUCGUCACGCAAAGCGGCAUUGUAUUUGUUAACGAGGUUCUCAUCACGUUGAAGACGUUGACAAGCUUCGAAGAGAGCGUGUACAUGGACGAAGCUUCCAUAGUUCUAGGAAUGAUUAUUCCCAGACUUCUUGCCGCGGUAAUGAUUACGCUGACCAAGCACACCUGGGAAGACACGAUUAAUUACGCUAACAAUUUGAAAACGCUACCUGCACUAAUUCCUAAAUUGUUCGCGGUCCUUGAGUGCUCGCCCGAUCAAUACAGCCUUCGCAUGACCUACAUGACGAUUUUGUUCAACACGAGCGUGGUAGGAAUUAGCAAGGAGAUCAUUAAGGUACUUCAACGGAACAACGUGGGACGGGUUAAUAUAUUAAACACGACAUUUCCAUGCAUAUCCGAGAAAAUAUUGAGAGUGAUCUUGCGAGGAGAGAAGUUGAGAAAGCUCAGCAUUAACGUGCUAAACAAAGCGAUUCGGCAAUACGCUCCAAUAGACGUGUUAUCUGCUUUAUUAAUUGUAUACAGAAUUGUUAAGGUCACGACGAAGGCGUCGUUGAGGAGUCUUAAGAAUGUGAUGUCCACGGCUGAGUCCAGGAAACUGGACAUGCCUUCCUACACGUGCAUUCCGAGGUACUUAGUGAAUCGCGCAAAUGAACCGCUUCAUUGAUCAAACUCAUUGGUAAUCAUCGGACAAGAGCUGUAAAUUGAAUUUUUUAUUUUUUAUUUUUUACACGGAUAUUUCGGCAAAAAUUAGAAUCCUUUUAGGACACUUUAUUUCUCAGUAUGUUUAGACCACUUGUAGAGUCACUUCACCGGUAAAAAGUCGUAAUUUCUACUUACGCAAUGCAGAUACGUAUUCGGUUAUAUAACAUUAUCGCACAUUAUCAUGUCUCAAAAUGUUCACGUGACGUGGAAGUUGCUUGACAAGUGGUACGGUUCUGUAGGUGUUUUGUGCUUUGAAUGAUACGCCAUGUUUAUUGAAUAUCGAAGCCCUACAAGUCUGCUGUCGAAAGCUUGAUGCCUCAUUUACAUACAUGCGGAAUCAACGCGAAAUCAACACGGAGCGCGGAUCGUGGAAUGGCUUUGAGACGGCUUAACUAAUCGGCCUAAUGCGUUGAUUCCGCGCGUUUUCCGCGCUUAUGAAAAUGAGGCAUAAGGCAGUUAACUGUGUACAGGCGUUGGGCAAACAAAACAAUGUGUGUGUGCGGAAUUACACCGGGGAUAAAAUUUGAUACAAUUCCAUUUUUAAUAAAUAAAUGUUUAUCCGUUCGUCAAGACAUAUGACCUGGAUCGACGACAUUAAGCAAGAGAUAAUUGGCGCGAUUGCGAGUCACAUGUAAAUAUUAAAAUAUGUUACGCAGAGAUGGUUGUCUGCCAAUCAAAGAAAGAGUUUGCGGCCUCUGUACGAUAACUAGAAAAAAGGCAGCUUUUAUAGUAAGUAGUUACGAGUCAGUGUGAUAGAUCCUCGUACUUUUGAUACAUACGUAUACACUUCUAAUAUAUUUUAAGUAUAUUGCUUUUCGACAGCAAAAACGAAUUAACCUUCUGUUUUAUUUACCAAGACAAUCGUCGAACAAUUUUGCUCCUCUCUCGUCGAGUUAAGUUGUUCGAUAUAAGCAGGCUGGGGAGUUAAUUUCAAAUCGAUCUUUGCGUUACUUCAUUUCCCAUAAGAACCGAGUACAUUUAAGGCUGCAAAUCUGACUUGAAAAAAAAAAAAAAAAAAAUCUACGUCAAGCACUACUCGUAAUUAUUUCACUGUACAUCCAUAAAUUGGAUUCCAAAAUUAAACGACGCUUGGCCAGACCAACGGCUCUCGACCCAAGGUGAAUGUAAAUAACGGUUAGAAAAUUAUAACACGUUAUUUAAUCCGCUCCUAGAAGGGUGGCACGAAUUUGAGACGAUUGAUUUCAGCCUUUUCAAUACUGUUUGAAUUUAUUCAGUUUCUGUGUUUCCAAUUGGAUUACCACGGUUAUGAAUUCGCAAGGUGGGAACGAAUUGGCAAUAAACGUUACAUGGUA